rnacentral:rRNA from 1 species
GACGAACGCUGGCGGCGUGCUUAACACAUGCAAGUCGAACGGAAAGGCCCUGCUUUUGUGGGGUGCUCGAGUGGCGAACGGGUGAGUAACACGUGAGUAACCUGCCCUUGACUUUGGGAUAACUUCAGGAAACUGGGGCUAAUACCGGAUAGGGGCUCCUGCUGCAUGGUGGGGGUUGGAAAGUUUCGGCGGUUGGGGAUGGACUCGCGGCUUAUCAGCUUGUUGGUGGGGUAGUGGCUUACCAAGGCUUUGACGGGUAGCCGGCCUGAGAGGGUGACCGGCCACAUUGGGACUGAGAUACGGCCCAGACUCCUACGGGAGGCAGCAGUGGGGAAUAUUGCACAAUGGGCGGAAGCCUGAUGCAGCAACGCCGCGUGCGGGAUGACGGCCUUCGGGUUGUAAACCGCUUUCGCCUGUGACGAAGCGUGAGUGACGGUAAUGGGUAAAGAAGCACCGGCUAACUACGUGCCAGCAGCCGCGGUGAUACGUAGGGUGCGAGCGUUGUCCGGAUUUAUUGGGCGUAAAGGGCUCGUAGGUGGUUGAUCGCGUCGGAAGUGUAAUCUUGGGGCUUAACCCUGAGCGUGCUUUCGAUACGGGUUGACUUGAGGAAGGCAGGGGAGAAUGGAAUUCCUGGUGGAGCGGUGGAAUGCGCAGAUAUCAGGAGGAACACCAGUGGCGAAGGCGGUUCUCUGGGCCUUUCCUGACGCUGAGGAGCGAAAGCGUGGGGAGCGAACAGGCUUAGAUACCCUGGUAGUCCACGCUGUAAACGGUGGGUACUAGGUGUGGGGUCCAUUCCACGGGUUCCGUGCCGUAGCUAACGCUUUAAGUACCCCGCCUGGGGAGUACGGCCGCAAGGCUAAAACUCAAAGGAAUUGACGGGGCCCCGCACAAGCGGCGGAGCAUGCGGAUUAAUUCGAUGCAACGCGUAGAACCUUACCUGGGUUUGACAUGGAUCGGGAGUGCUCAGAGAUGGGUGUGCCUCUUUUGGGGUCGGUUCACAGGUGGUGCAUGGCUGUCGUCAGCUCGUGUCGUGAGAUGUUGGGUUAAGUCCCGCAACGAGCGCAACCCUUGUUCACUGUUGCCAGCACGUUAUGGUGGGGACUCAGUGGAGACCGCCGGGGUCAACUCGGAGGAAGGUGGGGAUGACGUCAAGUCAUCAUGCCCCUUAUGUCCAGGGCUUCACGCAUGCUACAAUGGCUGGUACAGAGAGUGGCGAGCCUGUGAGGGUGAGCGAAUCUCGGAAAGCCGGUCUCAGUUCGGAUUGGGGUCUGCAACUCGACCUCAUGAAGUCGGAGUCGCUAGUAAUCGCAGAUCAGCAACGCUGCGGUGAAUACGUUCCCGGG